CGGGAAGUGUGUGUUUGUUAGAGCUGAGCCAGGAAGUUAGCCUCCUUAAGACUUUUGUUUGGGGACUCUGACUGCAGAGAAUUGCUCCCAUGAUCUCUACACUUCUUCAGGGCAUCUUCAAAGUUUCUUCAAAUAAACAUGUGGCUAUGC